rnacentral:rRNA from 1 species
GUUAGGAAUAUUGGACAAUGGGCGAAAGCCUGAUCCAGCCAUGCCGCGUGAACGAUGAAGGCCUUCGGGUUGUAAAGUUCUUUAGCCGAUGAUUAUAAUGACUGUAGUCGGAAAAUAAGCCCCGGCUAACUUCGUUCCAGCAGCCGCGGUAAUACGAAGGGGGCGAGCGUUAUUCGUAAUCACUGGGCGUACAGCGUGCGUAGGCGGUUUUGUAAGUUAGGAGUGAAAGCCCAGGGCUCAACCUUGGAAUUGCACUUAAAACUGCAAGGCUCGAAUCUCGGAGAGGAUAGCGGAAUUUCCAGUGUAGCAGUGAAAUGCGUAGAUAUUGGAAGGAACACCAGUGGCGUAAGCGGCUAUCUGGACGAGUAUUGACGCUGAGGCACGAAAGCGUGGGGAUCAAACAGGAUUAGAUACCCUAGUAGUCC